rnacentral:rRNA from 1 species
GACGGAGGAUGCAAGCGUUAUCCGGAAUGAUUGGGCGUAAAGCGUCCGCAGGUGGCAGUUCAAGUCUGCUGUCAAAGACCGGGGCUUAACUUCGGAAAGGCAGUGGAAACUGAACAGCUAGAGUAUGGUAGGGGCAGAGGGAAUUCCUGGUGUAGCGGUGAAAUGCGUAGAGAUCAGGAAGAACACCGAUGGCGAAGGCAGCCCCCUGGGUCGACACUGACGCUCAUGCACGAAAGCGUGGGGAGCAAACAGG